UAAGUAUCAAAUUUAAUUAUCAAAUAAACAAAGAAAAGGAUCCAAAUGAAAUCAACAUCUAGACUUAGGGUUUUAUGUGACAGAAUUCCACGAGUUUUGGUGUUUGUCUAUUUCUGCAGGGGGUUAUCAGGAAAUAAGGAAGAAAGGCCCACAUGUCGGGAUUACAUAGAGAUAUCAACGCACCGCGCAAUUUUCUACCAUCUAGAAGACUCCAGAAGCCACGAGACCGAAGCGGAGGC
rnacentral:lncRNA from 1 species